CAGUCGCCGCGGUAAUACGUAGGGCGCAAGCGUUAUCCGGAAUUAUUGGGCGUAAAGAGCUCGUAAGCGGUUUGUCGCGUCUGCCGUGAAAGUCCGGGGCUCAACCCCGGAUCUGCGGUGGGUACGGGCAGACUAGAGUGAUGUAGGGGAGACUGGAAUUCCUGGUGUAGCGGUGAAAUGCGCAGAUAUCAGGAGGAACACCGAUGGCGAAGGCAGGUCUCUGGGCAUUAACUGACGCUGAGGAGCGAAAGCAUGGGGAGCGAACAGGAUUAGAUACCCCAGUAGUCCCUGUCUCUUAUAC
rnacentral:rRNA from 1 species